UACAGAGGUCUCAAGCGUUGUUCGGAUUCAUUGGGCGUAAAGGGUGUGUAGGUGGCGCCGUAAGUCGGGUGUGAAAUUUCGGAGCUUAACUCCGAAACUGCAUUCGAUACUGCGGUGCUUGAGGACUGGAGAGGAGACUGGAAUUCAUGGUGUAGCAGUGAAAUGCGUAGAGAUCAUGAGGAAGACCAGUGGCGAAGGCGGGUCUCUGGACCUGACCUGACGCUGAGGAGCGAAAGCGUGGGGAGCGAACAGG
rnacentral:rRNA from 1 species